rnacentral:rRNA from 1 species
AACGCUUGAAGCUUACCGGUACUAAUAGUUCGAUCGGCUUGAUCGUUCUCAUU